rnacentral:rRNA from 1 species
GUGGGGAAUCUUGCGCAAUGGGCGAAAGCCUGACGCAGCCAUGCCGCGUGAAUGAUGAAGGUCUUAGGAUUGUAAAAUUCUUUCACCGGGGACGAUAAUGACGGUACCCGGAGAAGAAGCUCCGGCUAACUUCGUGCCAGCAGCCGCGGUAAUACGAAGGGGGCUAGCGUUGCUCGGAAUUACUGGGCGUAAAGGGCGCGUAGGCGGACAGCUUAGUCAGAGGUGAAAGCCCAGGGCUCAACCUUGGAAUUGCCUUUGAUACUGGCUGUCUUGAGUUUGGGAGAGGUGAGUGGAACUUCGAGUGUAGAGGUGAAAUUCGUAGAUAUUCGGAAGAACACCAGUGGCGAAGGCGACUCACUGGCCCAAUACUGACGCUGAGGCGCGAAAGCGUGGGGAGCAAACAGGAUUAGAAACCCCGGUAGUCC